UGGGGAAUUUUGGACAAUGGGCGCAAGCCUGAUCCAGCCAUUCCGCGUGCAGGACGAAGGCCUUCGGGUUGUAAACUGCUUUUGUACGGAACGAAAAGGCUCUGGCUAAUACCUGGGGCUCAUGACGGUACCGUAAGAAUAGGCACCGGCUAACUACGUGCCAGCAGCCGCGGUAAUACGUAGGGUGCAAGCGUUAAUCGGAAUUACUGGGCGUAAAGCGUGCGCAGGCGGUUAUGUAAGACAGAGGUGAAAUCCCCGGGCUCAACCCGGGAACUGCCUUUGNGACUGCAUAGCUGGAGUACGGCAGAGGGGGAUGGAAUUCCGCGUGUAGCAGUGAAAUGCGUAGAUAUGCGGAGGAACACCGAUGGCGAAGGCAAUCCCCUGGGCCUGUACUGACGCUCAUGCACGAAAGCGUGGGGAGCAAACA
rnacentral:rRNA from 1 species